CUCCCUCAAGCCAUGCUAUUACUUAUAAUAAACAUGAUACGCGAUAAUCAAAUUUAUAUGACCUCACUCGAUUGCACAAGAGUAAAAACUUCGGAGGCCUUUCGCGAGGUUCCUGACGCUAAGGAGAAGGUUCCUGACGCUGAGGACAAGGUUCCUCGCGGUGAGGACAAGGUUCCUGGCGGUGAGGACAAGGUUCCUGGCGGUGAGGACAAGGUUCCUGGCGGUGAGGACAA